rnacentral:rRNA from 1 species
AGCAGCCGCGGUAAUUCCAGCUCCAAUAGCGUAUAUUAAAGUUGUUGCAGUUAAAAAGCUCGUAGUUGAAUUUCGGGAUCAAUAUGUUGGUCGUGCCUUGGUACGUACUGGCAUUAUCGAUUCCUACCUUCUGAAGAACCUCGAUGUCAUUAAUUUGGUGUCUUGGGGAAUCAGGACUGUUACUUUGAAAAAUUAGAGUGUUUAAAGCAGGCUCGCGCUUGAAUACAUUAGCAUGGAAUAAUGAAAUAGGACGUUUGAUUCUAUUUGUUGGUUUCUAGGAUCGACGUAAUGAUUAAUAGGGAUAGUUGGGGGCAUUAGUAUUCAAUUGUCAGAGGUGAAAUUCUUGGAUUUAUUGAAGACUAAUUACUGCGAAAGCAUUUGCCAAGGAUGUUUUCAUUAAUCAAGAACGAAAGUUAGGGGAUCGAAGACGAUCAGAUACCGUCGUAGUCU